rnacentral:rRNA from 1 species
GACAGAGGUGCCAAGCGUUAGGCGGAAUCACUGGGCUUAAAGCGUGUGUAGGCGGAAUGGUAAGUACCUUGUGAAAUCCCACGGCUCAACCGUGGAACUGCUUGGUAUACUGCUUUUCUUGAGCCACUUAGGGGCUGUCGGAACAAACGGUGGAGCGGUGAAAUGCGUAGAGAUCGGGAGGAACACCAGAGGCGAAGGCGGCGACCUGGACAAGCACUGACACUCAACUACGAAAGCGUGGGGAGCAAACAGG